UUUCACUUUUUUGCUUGCCUA
ensembl:piRNA 21ur-3568 ncRNA